rnacentral:rRNA from 1 species
UACGGAGGGUGCAAGCGUUGUUCGGAUUUACUGGGCGUAAAGCGCGCGCAGGUGGAUGAGCAAGUCGGAAGUGAAAUCUUGAGGCUCAACCUCGAGGCUGCUCCCGAAACUGUUCGUCUAGGGACUGGUAGAGGCUGGUAGAAUUCCCGGUGUAGCGGUGGAAUGCGUAGAGAUCGGGAAGAACACCCGUGGCGAAGGCGGUUCUCUGGGACGGUACUGACGCUGAGACGCGAAAGCGUGGGGAGCGAACAGG